GAUGAACGCUGGCGGCGUGCCUAAUACAUGCAAGUCGAGCGAACGGACGAGAAGCUUGCUUCUCUGAUGUUAGCGGCGGACGGGUGAGUAACACGUGGAUAACCCACCUAUAAGACUGGGAUAAUUUCGGGAAACCGGAGCUUAUACCGGAUAAUAUUUUGAACCGUAUUGUUCAAAAGUGAAAGACGGUGUUGCUGGCACUUAUAGCUGGUUCCCCGCUGCAUUAGCUAGUUGGUACGGUAACGGCUUACCAAGGCAACGAUGCGUAGCCGACCGGAGAGGGUGAUCGGCCACACUGGAACUGGGCCGCGGUCCAGACUCCUACGGGAGGCAGCAGUAGGGAAUCUGCGGCAAUAGGCGAAAGCCUGGCGGAGCAACGCCGCGUGUGUGAUGAAGGUCUUCGGUGCGUAAAGCUCUGUUAUUAGGGAAGAACAUAUGUGUAAGUAGCUGUGCACAGCUUGACGGUACCUAAUCAGAAAGCCACGGCUAACUACGUG
rnacentral:rRNA from 1 species